GUAAAUCAGCGUCUGCAAUUCUGAGCAUGUCUUUGUGACUUUCAGUCAGAGCUCUGUAAUGUUCACCUCUUGUUUGGUUCCCAGCACCCAUUUCCCUUCUCCUUGGGAACAGCAACCCAAAUAUUCUUUGGGAAAACAUCCUUUCUCAGCCACCUAGCUUGGCUCCACCCCCAUCUUCAUAAGUAGAUCCUUUUUGGCCUAGGUCCUUCAACUCAUCCUAUCCCCUUGGCCACAGAGCCAAUGACGUAUGAGGAGAUAUUUACCGGGCCUUCUGGAAGAGAGAGGCUUUUCUUCUUUGAGAGGGACCAAAGGAGAUAUUCUCUGUUCUCCUUUGUAUGGCAUGUAUAUGUAGGAAGACGUGAGGUCUGGAACUGUAGCAACAAUUUUUUGAUUAUAAGGAGAGAGUCUGGAGCUUCCUGGCAUUACCAUGUGGAGCCCGAGGAUAAAACCAUGACCAAAGAAGACAGUGGUGAAGCAGAGAGAAACUGGGUCCUUGGUGACAUCAUUUGAGCCACUAGACCAAGCCUUACCUGAAAUAGUCCUACCUCUGGACUUUUCAGCUAUGUAAGCCAAUAAACAUCUUUUGUUAAACUAGUUAGAUUUGAGUUUUCUGUCAUUUAUAACUUAGUCAUACCGAUAGAGGCUUAUAUUUGAAAGCACUGUGUUUUCGUACAACACCUUAAUGUCACAUUUUUUCUUGCUUAGUAGUCCCACCAGAUCCUCAUUUGUAUCUCAUCUCAGUUGCUUAGAGCUUGAGUGUCUAAAUAGGUGCCUCUCAUGCCCUAAACUUGAUUUCACGAAUACCACCGGACUGAUGUUUUGUCAGACCAUAGCAUACCUUCCAAACUUGAUGAAAAUAUACUGUCAGUUCCAGAUUCUAGUGGAUAACUUCCUAUCUCUUUGAAGUCUCUUCCAGGCUCCCCUACCCUACCUAGGUGAAUUUUGGGUUUGCUGUGUCACCCACAUUUUAAGUGAGAUAAUUAUGGCAUAACCAGGCAUUGAUUUAUAUCUGCUAGAGGCUUUGUUUUAUUGAACAAUGGUCCAAUGCUUGUUGAGAAGGACAAAGUCCAGACCUACAGAAGAUUCCCUGAAGUUGAAAGUCACUUCUCAGCCCAGUGAUUGAGAUGUAAAUUAUAGGGUGAAAGUUACUUUCUUACUUUAUCAAAAAGAGAAAACAAUAAGAAUCAGCUUUGACCAUUUUUUCCACAAAAGAAGGACCAUAUUUGUCUAGUGUGAGUGAUACAGGUUUUGGGGUUAUGCAACUGCAUGUUUUCAGCCUUCACCCCCAUUUCCAGCAUACCUAGUCCAAGUUGGACUCAAGUGUGCUUGGCAUGAAUGAGGCUUGAGACCCAAUACCGUCUGAUUUCCUCUAUGUUGUACCCACUAAAGUUGACAAACAGUCACUCAUUCAUUUUCACGUAUAUAACAAAUAGAAACUUUAUUCUGUGGAUAACAUAAAAAGCAAUGAGAAAGAAUUGGUGUGAGAGAAGAAGCCGAAAAGUAAAUUUGUUUAUCAAUCAACUGGUGUCUCAGGUAGUAUCCUAUAGCGAUUUCUUUUCCCCUCAGAUGAGUUCCCUGCUCACCAGGAGUGCCUUGUGGAGAGGCUGACAUGGGCUUUUGACUGGCCCCCUUCUCUCUGAGAAAAUAUUAAUUCUGAAUGGAUGGGAUCUAACCAUCAGGCCCCAAUACAUUUUAUUAUUUUCCUGGGAGGCUCAAAGGAUAAUCAAGCAAAUGGAGCUAAGCUCCCCUGAUCGUCUGCCCCAGGGAUGACAGAUCAGAUUCCCUGACGUUCCUUUGAAAAAUGCAAGGGUGUGUGAAGAGGAAACAAGAAAAGGAGGGGAGUGGUAUUUGUGGGAAAUUGGUGGCAAAUAACACUAAAAACAAACAAACCAGGAUGUAUAAAGUGAAACUAUUCUGAAAAGGUAACAGACGUACUGGAGGGAAGCCACUAAUGAUGCUAAUAUGGAAACUGAAAAUCGACUCAGGUCAUACACUAGAGGUGGGCAUGAUCCAUCCAUAGAGCCUUGAUGCCGGCUCGACCUGCAGACGGGCUGGAGGCUGGUGCCCUGUGAGGUGGGAGUUGUUCUGAAAGACCAGUUGCGGUUCUUGACGGCUACUCUAUUUCCUCUCUGUUCACUCAGCCCAUAGCAAUUGGCUGCUACUCCUGUCAAAUUCCUUGAGCUGUGGUUUCUUUGGCUUCAUCCUCUACAGCAUGUAUCCCUGUUGAUAAUUUGGAAUGUCCUUGAAAGUGUCCUCUUGACUCUUGGGACACCACUUUCUCCUGAUGUUCCUGACCUGUUAGUUCCUGCCUCCUUUGAGUUUCCUUCACUUCUGUCCACCCUUUAAAGAUAAGUAGUCCUCCUAAAUAUCCAAUCUUGUCCCUCCUCUAAGUCUGUACAGUGUCACUAGGUGACAAGAUUAUUCUCCCAUUUGGGUUAAACUACAUCUAGAUGCCAUAUGUACAAAAAUGCAUUUAUUAUUCUUACCCACAGGUACACAUUAACCUCUGUUUUCUCCACCACCCAUCCAGUCCUCCAAGCCAGGAACCUCAUGGAAACCUCAGCUUCUCUCUAUCCUGCACCCUUAUAAGCAGUCUGACCAGGUUUUAGUGAUUCCAUUUCACAAAUGCAGCAAGUCUGUCACUUCCUUUCCACCUCCUCUGCUCUACUUCACUUGGUUAUCAUCUUAGAGUUUUGUGAUAGCUACUGUCUUUUCAAUCCCCUCUCUCAUUCGAAGGUGAAGAAUUUUUUUUCCCUGAGGAAGAUUCAACCUCAGCUAACAUCUGUUGCCAGUAUUCCUCUGUUUUGUGUGUGGGUCACCACCACAGCAUGAUCACUGACAGACGAGUGGUGUAGGUCUGUGCCCAGGAACUGAACUGGGGCUGCCAAAGUGGAGCAUGCUGAACUUAACCACUAGGCCACCAGGGCUGGCCUAAGAAAAAAAUUUUUUUAAAUGAGAGUCUAAUUAUUUAAUGAUUAACUAGGAAAAUCUUUUAAUGCUUCUCUAUUGCCUAUAAAACAAAAUCCAAAUUCCUUGGGUGAAUAUUCAAAACUGUAGUACUGAUUUGUUUUAAUCUAUGGUUUUACUCUAUCUCCCUUUGAUCUCCCACUUAGGUCUCAACUACAACCUCACUUUUCUGCUUCUAAUUCUCAACCAUGUCUUGCUCUUUCAAGAAAUGAGUGACUGCAUCUAUAUAGGUCAGUGGUUGUUGACUGAAGGUGAUUUUACUGCACUCUCCCAGAGGACAUUUGGCAAUGUUUAGAGACUUUUUGUUGUUGUUAAAGUUGGGGAAUGGGGUGCUACUAGUAUCUAGUGGGUAGAGGCCAGGGAUGCUGCUAAAUAUACUACAACACACAGGGCAGUCCCCCACUGAAAAGAAUUAUCUGAUGCCAAAUGCCAAUAGUGCUGCUGUUAAGAAAAUCUUGUAUAGGUCAACCACAUCUGGAAGUGUGUUGAUCAUUUCUUUGAGUCUUUAGAAACUUGCUACAAAGGAGGAACAAGUUUCAGCAUGAAGAGAACACUAGAAUGGAAACAUAAAUUUAUGGAGAGGAAGACUUUUUGUUCAUAGUGGUUGAGCAAAUCAGUUGCGAAAUCAGUUGUACUCUGCCAACCUGCAAAGCUAAUUUUCUCCUCUUGGUCAAAGUGAGUGCAAGAAAUAGAAAUGAAGAUAUUCAGGGGCUGGCCCGGUGUCACAGCAGUUAAGUUCACACAUUCUGCUUCAGCGACCCGGGAUUCGCCAGUUUAGAUCCUGGGUGGGAACGUGGCACCACUUGGCAAGCCAUGCUGUGGUAGGCGUCCCACAUAUAAAGUACAGGAAGAUGGGCACAGAUGUUACCUCAGGGCCAGUCUUCCUCAGCAAAAGGAGGAGGAUUGGUGGCAGAUGUUAGCUCAGGACUAAUCUUCCUCAAAGAAA
rnacentral:lncRNA from 1 species